UACGUAGGGUGCGAGCGUUAAUCGGAAUUACUGGGCGUAAAGCGUGCGCAGGCGGUUUUGUAAGCCAGAUGUGAAAUCCCCCGGGCUCAACCUGGGAACUGCAUUUGGGACUGCAAGGCUUGAGUACGGCAGAGGGGGGGUAGAAUUCCUGGUGUAGCAGUGAAAUGCGUAGAUAUCAGGAGGAAUACCGAUGGCGAAGGCAGCCCCCUGGGUCGAUACUGACGCUCAUGCACGAAAGCGUGGGGAGCAAACAGG
rnacentral:rRNA from 1 species